rnacentral:rRNA from 1 species
AACGAACGCUGGCGGCAGGCCUAACACAUGCAAGUCGUGCGCACCUUCGGGUGAGCGGCGGACGGGUUAGUAACGCGUGGGAACGUGCCCAGAUCUAAGGAAUAGCCACUGGAAACGGUGAGUAAUACCUUAUACGCCCUUCGGGGGAAAGAUUUAUCGGAUUUGGAUCGGCCCGCGUUAGAUUAGGUAGUUGGUGGGGUAACGGCCUACCAAGCCUACGAUCUAUAGCUGGUUUUAGAGGAUGAUCAGCAACACUGGGACUGAGACACGGCCCAGACUCCUACGGGAGGCAGCAGUGAGGAAUCUUGGACAAUGGGGGCAACCCUGAUCCAGCCAUGCCGCGUGAGGGAAGAAGGCCUUAGGGUUGUAAAUCUCUUUCAGCGGGGAAGAUAAUGACGGUACCCGCAGAAGAAGCUCCGGCU